CAGAAAACAGCCAGUUGUUGAUGUAUCCCCACUGUGGAAGGUUUUUCAUCUCUUGCAAGAGCAGAAAGAGUCUUCUGUGAAUGCCAGUGCCUGUGCUUGACCGAAGUUUUGGGUUGCCCAAAUGUUUUUUCCAAAGUACCAAAGUCCCAGGGCAGACAUCAGAUGUGCUAGCUUCUACCAGCAGGGAAAUCAGAAUUAUGGUGACUUCUCAGACCAUUCUGCAGACCAAACCGAAGGGACAGCUGUGCUUCGCAGGGUGAGAUUUCAGUGUCAGAAUGUUUUAAGUCAACACAUCAGGAGCAUUUCUGAAAAAAGGGAGAACUGAAAGGUCCGUCAGAAAUGGUCCGUCAUGCAGAAAAAAUAUUGUGGAGGAUCUGUGUUGAAAUGGAGUAUAGAUCCCAAGGCACAGUAAUGAGGGCUUUCUUAUAACCUUCCCUUACUGAAGAAGGCUGGGAACAGGAAGAGCCUGGGACCCCAAACCUGUUUCUCAGCUGAUGCUCAGAGGAAGCCCUGUGAGAAGAGAUCCCAUCAGAGGAACCCUGUGCAGAGAGCAUUAACCACAGGCCGGCAUUUCUGAGAAUUGGGAUGACUGCUGUCAACAUGACCACCCUGAAAAAAAUGUAUUAGCAUUCAUCUCUUGAAAUGCUUUUGUGUGACUGGCCGUAUUGACUGCAUGGCUUUGAUCCUUGACAUCUGACCAAAGGGAUCUGGGACAGCAGAGGUGCAGGGCAUUUGUGCUUUCUGCUGGUGCUGACUGCUGUCCAGACCUCGGUGGAAGUAUGUGAGAAGACGGGUGUCACCAUCAAGAACAGCUCUUCUCUGUAUGGAGCCUUCUGCCUUGGAAAAUGCUGAGCCUGCAGUCUGGAACUGAAGACCAAGCUGAGCACAGCUGAAAACAGCAAGAAGCCUAUGGAGAUCUGUAAAUGGUGGUGUGUCCCUUCUUCCUGGGCCUCCUGAAAGAGUGAAGGGCUGUCAUCUGCUGGAGAGUGGGAGGUUGAACUGAUGUAUGCAGUGCACCUACAGCAGAGGCAACAGAGAUGACCCUUUUCUCCUGAGUCAAGUAUCUUUCACACCCACCAGCAAUGAGAAGAUGGGAGAGAGAGCCUGGCUUUUCAUUUGCCCCAGCGCAGUGGAGAAAGGGAGAUACCUUUGAGAGGGUUUACCAUUGCAGGAAGAUCUCCCACGUAAAGAUUUGGCCAGACUUCAUCCACAUGCCCCGUCGGGUGUGUGCGUGUGCAAAGCAGGCGCCGCAGCUCCUCCAGGGAUGGUGUUUCAGCACUGCUUGGGCUACCAGGCAUCCAGCUUGAAGCACUUCGUAUCUUGGGGCGCAGUAAGUCCCUGCUGCGCAGGGAGUCCCAGGCCAUCCUGUAAGACACUGACUGCUGCAGUGAAAAAGAGCAGUCCUCGAUACACCAACAGGAGAGUCCUGCUUUCGAAUGGAAAGAGCCCAGCGCUGAAAACACCGGGCUUCAGAAUUCAAAGAAUCUCAUUACAAAUGAAUGGAUUCUGCCCCCAGGAUUUAACCAAACAGAUGGCACAAUGCAAAAGCCCUUCUCCCUGUCACUAGCUCUGGUACCCACCUUACAGGAGGCAGCAGGCACAUAUCCCUGCGCUGGCAUAGCAGGGGGCCUGAACAACCUGCGAGGAAGGAAGAUGGGAAACAGCAGGAGCAGAGAGCAAUGUUUUAAGGUGGAGAGUGAAGGAUACAAUACACAACCAUCACAAGGAUAAUCUAGGAGGCUUUGCCCAAUGGAGAGAUCAAGUAAAAUCUACUUUUGAUUCUCUGGUUCCUUUCCUGUCUUCAUUUAAUUUAAUGUCCAAGUCCCGAAGCUGACUGAGGAAACCUGAGUUUGGGCAGAUGUCUCUGUGAGCACCCACUGCUUUCAGGGCAUCCACAAGUGUCAUGUUUUCAUGGAUCAUUAAAAAGGCAAGCACUAACGUCGCAGAGCGGCUUAUGCCCAUGGCACAGUGCACGAACACCUUACCUGUAAAAGAAGAGGCACAGCAUGAGGCAGGAAGCUCAGGCCACCAGUCCAGCUUCAAGCAGAGCUCAGUUGAGAGAAAGAGUUCAGAGAUACACAAGCAGUCCCUUCUCUGAGACUUGAGGAUCAUUUCUCCUGCCAGGAUCUCAUUACCCUGAGUUGCUGUUCUUGCCUCCAGAGAACACUGGUGAGUUUUGUUUGGUUGCUUGUUGGGUUUAAAGCCAUAAUCAGUGUGGGACCCACACUAGAACUCUUCCCAAAGUGGGAAAGAAGCUUUCACUCAAAUGCCUUAACACCUAAAUCCAGAGUCUGAGUUUAUUUUCUUAGCAGUUCUAGGAAACAAGUGCAGAUGGGAGUUUUGGAAGUCAUCUAAGGCUGUCCACUGCCCUGCACAGCAGCCAGAUGGAUGGUGGUACUCAAGCAACAACAGUAGCUUUGUUCAGACUUCCAGACACAAAACAUGAAGCUGAAGCAGUAAAAGGAAGUCAAAGAAAAGAUAAUACAGGUUCUACAUCAGGAGAUUGGUAAGACCACAGGCUCAUUUUGAAGGAGCAUGGCUGACACUCGGUCACUGCAACUGUUUAAAUGCUGAAGUUGUGGAGGUAAGCAGGCCGAUAUGAAACUUCCAGUUGUCUCAGACCCCACUGCUUUAAACUCCUAUUGUAGCCUGUCAGCUCGUUAGGUUAAUGGAGAUGAUUAGCAGACAGAGAGUGAUUAGCAGAGAGAAUUACAUUCUGAGGUCUGUUCUUCAAGACCUGACUUUGAGGAGGCUCUCUUGGCCUCCAAGAAUUGAGUUGUUCUGGUGCAGGUGAAAAUUCACAGGUGACUCCAGCCUGUGCAGCCGGGUUGGUGGUUUGCAAUGGAGCACCCUUUCACACAGCAAUCCUGUUCCCAAAAAGUUCGUUAGCAUUGCUUGCUUCUCAUGACUAAUGCCAAGAGCAGUGAGCUCCUAGAGCUAACGUGAAGCACAGCUCCUCCCAAGCACACCGUUCCACUCUGCUCUGUGCUGGCCUUGAAAUGGAACUGCUCUGCCAGGCCUUCAGGGUAAGCUUGGAAAUAGCUAUUCCAGAUGAUUGGACUAAUGAGGAAAGUAAUAUGAAUUUUUUAAUUGAAGGCCAGGGACUUUGCUGGGGGUUUCCCCCUCACCCAUCCUUGUACUUGAAGGCACUGCAGCGCUAGCAAAAGUGCUGCAACUGAUUGUAUCUCCCUAAGCUGCUCCCUCUGGGAGGCUCUCAGAAGCUGCUUUGGUUGGAAACAGGAAUUUUUGUAGCUGGGGAAAAAAAUUCUCUGUCUUGCAAGGUCACUAACAGUUUCUGCAGGGAUCUAGACCAUGCAAGUUGGAUACGAUUGCUUUUCUUCUAAACUGUAUCCUGGAAUUAUAGAGUCAUAGAGUAAUGGAAUGGGUUGCAUUGGAAUGGACCAUAAAGCCCACGCAGUUCCAAGCCCCUGCUAUGGGCAGGGACACCUCCCACUGGAUCAGGUCACUUAAAGCCUCAUCCAACCUGGCCUUGAACACCUCCAGGGGUGAGGCAGCCAUGGUUUCUCUAGGCAACCUGGGCCAGUGCCUCCCCACACUCACGGGAAAACAUUUCUUCCUAAAAUCUAAUCUCAAUCUCCCCUCUUUCAGGUGAACACCAUUCCCCCUCAUCCUAUCCAUGCACUCUCUGAUUAAGAGCCCCUCCCCAGGCUUCCUUUAGCCCCUUUCAGUACUAGAAGUUGCUCUAAGGUCUUCCCGGAGCCUUCUCUUCUCCAGUCUCAGCUCUCUCAGCCUGUCCUCAUAUGGGAGGUGCUCCAGCUCUCUGAUCAUCUCCAUGGCCUCUUUUGGAUUCGCUGCAACAGAUCCAUGUCCUUCCUGUGCUGAGGACUCCAGAACUGAACACAGGGCUCCAGGUAGAGCUUACCGCUGCGGCUUUUUGUCCUCCUGAUGGAAAAAUCCAGAUGGAAAGAAGUGUAGUUUGCAAGGAAAUGAUCAUAAGAUGCAUUUUGAUGAUUACCAGCAGACCACGUGUGUUCGUUGCCACUGAUUUGGACAUAGUUUUGUUGGUUACUGCUAAUCUUUCAGGAUCCUGCUGUCCUCCCACAUGCCAAUGGAGACAGUAUUGACUUGGCUUCUGCUCACUUCAUCUGAUGCCCUCAGUUCUUGCACUGGAAAGUAAAACUAAGAGACAUUUCUACUGGAAUUUUAUAUGGCUUCCUUCAAGUGACACUGCAUUUUUGUGGUUGCUUUGAGUAGAUUUAAGUCUCAUAACUGCAGCUGAGACAGUCCUUGUCACUGUGCUUUCUGCACACGGACAGACACACACUCACAGCUUCUGCUGGGCUGACACCAGCCCUCGUGGCCCACUUGAGGCUGCUAAACUGGCAAAGGAAGUGGCAUAUUCACUCCAACUGCAGCAACUCAUCUGGGAAGCUGCGCAUCGUUGGUGUGAACAAUAGCAAGAUGGAACAGACUGCUUAGAAUUAAGCAUCUUUGAACCGGUAUCUGGGCAUGUGGUGUUGAGCAGAAGUUCUUACAGCUUGUUUCUGUUCUGAAUAUCCAGUAUUUCAUCUAAUUAAAAUGCAUGUAGUCCACUACAAUUGAGAUUGUGGAAUGGUGGACAUUUGCAUUGGACUGCUUGAUGACUCGGCAACUUGAUGUAGCUGCGAAGCAUUUUGAAAUCCAGUAUUUCUAUGUUUCACUGUUGUGGCACAAGGGUGAAGACUGCAAAAGAUCUCUUUUUCUCUGAGAAGAAAGAAUACCAGGCCAAGUUCUAUGAAAAGGCUAGUGUCAUUAACUUAAUGGAGUGACACUGGCACCUUCUUUUUACUUCAACUGAAGCCAUAUCUUAGGUCACUUGGACCUCAUAGUAAUUACAUUAUCAACAAAGCGAGUUCUGACUUUUCAUUGGACUGUGUUCUGCUGCUGUAAAGGGCUGGCUGCUACCACAGUCUGUUGAUCUACAAAAUAAAUUUAUUUCUGGAGCUAUUUGUUUGUAAUUCGUCUGUCUCCUUCCAUCCCUGCCUUUUGUAUUAUUUAUGGAGCUUCUGAAGUGACAGUGCCUUGUUGAAGCUUUCACAAGUUGUCAGUGCUGUUCACAUCGGUGCUGUGGAUCACACUGGAUGAAUGACUGCCAGUUUUCAGAUUUAUUUCUUCUACAGUCAUCAGAAAAGAGUAACGGUGCAAAAAACGGCGCAUCUACCAAGAAGAGAAAUGUUUUGUAACGAUUGCUUGAUGGGAAAAUUGACAGUAUGAAGGUCCUGCAAAUUUUCUCUCCUAUAUUCUCCUUUAAAUGAAGG